UACGUAGGGGUCGAGCGUUGUCCGGAAUUACUGGGCGUAAAGAGCUCGUAGGUGGUUUGUCACGUCGUCUGUGAAAUUCCGGGGCUUAACCUCGGGCGUGCAGGCGAUACGGGCAAUACUUGAGUGCUGUAGGGGAGACUGGAAUUCCUGGUGUAGCGGUGAAAUGCGCAGAUAUCAGGAGGAACACCAAUGGCGAAGGCAGGUCUCUGGGCAGUUACUGACGCUGAGGAGCGAAAGCAUGGGUAGCGAACAGGAUUAGAUA
rnacentral:rRNA from 1 species